CUUGGUGUGUUCCUCCUCUUGGGUGUUGGGCUUUAGGAAGAAUAAGGGAGAGAAAAGAGUUUCUAGAUCUUCUUCUUCUUCCUAUUCUUCUUCAUAUCUCAGAGGAUUUGAGAGAUACGAAGAAGAUUAAGGCUUCGUAUGGAUAUCUAUAGAGGUCGGACGCUUGUACAGCUCAAUAAAUCUAAACAUUCACAAUUAUCAAUUGCAGUAUAGAUCGAUCCGCACAAAGAUAUGGAGAUCAAAUCUUCUCUUGAUUAUGUUUCAGAAUCAGAUUUUAGAUGCAUGAUCAUAUUGAUAUCGUAGAUCAAUUUUAGAUGGUUUGUAGAUCAGAUCUAAUGCAUGCUUAGAUUAAAAAUAUUUUAAUCUAUAUUUAUUUUCACUGCAUAUGAUAAAGAUUUUACAACUACAUGCAUGAAAC
rnacentral:lncRNA from 1 species